rnacentral:misc_RNA from 1 species
AACGCACCUUGCGCUCCUUGGUAUUCCGAGGAGCAUGCCUGUUUGAGUGUCAUUUAAUUCUCAACCCCUCCAGCUUUGCUGGCUAGGUGGCUUGGACGUGGGGGAUUACUUUGCGGGCCUCUUCAGAGGUCGGCUCCCCUGAAAUGCAUUAGCAGAACCGUUUGCGGUAACUGUCGUCACUGGUGUGAUAACUAUCUACGCCAAAGACAACUGCUCUCUGGUAGUUCUGCUUCUAACCGUCCUUUCAUUUGGACAACGUUAUCUGAACACUUGACCUCAAAUCAGGUAGGACUACCCGCUGAACUUAA